GCGACGGUCGUCCAGUUUGGUCUAGGACAUCAGAUUGCCAAUCUGGUAACCCGGGUUCAAAUCCCGGCCGUCGCACCA
rnacentral:tRNA from 4 species